UCCAGGCAAGUCCCGAGCGCCUUCGCGGAGUGGCACCGCCUUCUCUGAGAGACGCCCUGUCCGCCUACUCCUAAAGCUUUGGCCCUUGAGGUGAAAUCAGUUUCAGGCUCGGGAAGGGAUGUGCCAAGAGGAUUGGAGAGGGCCUUUAUCUUUUCGCACGGCACUUAGAGAACCUUUGGCAGUGAGCGGGCCACCCAGCGCGCGCGCGGGGACCCUGGUCUGUAUUUCCCCGGAGUCCGAGUUCCGUAGAGGAGGGGGGAGUGCGGAUUAGCCCCGAGGGAUUCGCUGCCCUAGGAGACGCUACUGCUUUCAGCAGCAUGCUAGUUGCCUCGGGGGUGAUAAACACAUACUACCAAGCCCUCCCAAGGAAGAUUCAGAAAGGAUGCGCUUGGGACUGCAACACAUUUUCGCCAGAGGAUCUCCGGGUUGGUUUUUGCUGUUCAACUCUCUCUUUCUAAGGGAAGAAGGGCCUUCGAGUGAUGUAGACGCUCCCACUCCCCUAGUUCUACCCCCACCACCAUUCCAUUGAAAUGGACAGCCUGUCAUCUUUAGGAUUAAUAGGAUUAUAUAGCCGAUCGAAGUGGAGGAAAAAAACCAGGACUUAAGGAAGAGACCAUUUUUUACCCAGUGUUGAAAUAAGGCUGUGGUUCAUCCUUCUCCAAUCCUAUUUGCGAAGCAAUACACCAGAAAAGACUUGGUUGCAACAAGAGUAUGACAACUCAUGGUGAAAGAAAAAACUCACUGGAAGACAAGAAAAUGCCAGUGAAGCAGAUGGUGGCAGCUCUUCCUAAGCGUAUUGAUUUCCCACAGGGAAGUCUCUGGAAGGGGGAGGCAGAAAAUGCAACUUCCUGGAGGGUAUUGCAUUCCCUAGCCUCACCAUCCAGAACUAAACUUAUAUGUGAAACAGAUACAGAAAGGUUGGGUGAGUGCAUGGGGGAGAUACCACUCCUGUGCCAAAAAUGUCAUCCAAUGGGUUUUAACUUAUUUCUUACCACUUCACAUUUAGCAAGAGAAUGUUACCUGAUGUAUUUAAAAAGGGAAAGUGUAUUUACAUCUUGGUGAGUCAAGAAGAGGCAAAGAUUUGCUAUGCUGGAUAAAGGAUCAUAGGAAUAGAGAGGCAUUUCUCUUUUUAUAAGUAUACAGAGCAAGCUUGGUUUGUGUCUGUUUCUCAUCCUAAGUACUGUGGUCUGUUCA